CUUUGGAGUCAGGUUUGUGAUUCAGGUGAGGAUUUUCAGGGUGAGAACUCAUGCUUGUAUUAGUUUUCUAUUGCCACUGUAACAAACUACCACAAACUUAUUGGUAUUAAUAAAUUAUACAUUCAUUAUCUUAUAGUUCUGGAAGUCUGAAGUCUGAAAUCAUCAAAUACAUGAGCUGACAUCAAAUUAUCAGCGAGGAUGCUUCCUUUUGAAGGCUGAGAGGAAAAUCCAAUCACCUUGCCUUUUUCAGCUUCCAGUGGCCUAUGUUCUUUGGCUUGUGCUCUUUCUCCACCUUCAAAACACAUCUUGCAGUUUCUGCUUUCCUCAUCACAUCACCUCUUCUCUUGUAGUCAAAUCUCACUCUGCCUCCCUUUUACCAGGACACUUGUGAUCACAGGUAGGCUCAUGAGGGUGUUCCAGGGUAACUUCUACCAUCUCAGGAUCUUUAAUUUAAUCUCAUCCUCAGAGUGCUGUUUGCUCUAUAAGGUAUCAUUCACAGGUUCCAGGAUCCAGGACCUGGAUAUCUUGGGAGGUCAUUAUUCUGCCUACCACAAUGUUCCAGCCCCCAACAUAACUUUACACAUACACACAGUCAUUUUGUAUAUAUAUACACACACACAUAUACAUAUAUAUACACACACAAUGUAUAUAUAUAUACACACACACACAUAACUUUCAAUUGCAUAUGGCCUUGUCAAAUUCCUACUCAACCUCAAAACCAGUGUGGUUUCCAGGGUGAGUAGGAAUUUGGUACGGCAUUAUCUCCUCUAUGAGGUUUUUAAUAUCCUUCACUGCCUUCAAGAUCAUCCCUCUGAAUCUCAUACAUAAUUUUGUGAGUUGAUUUGCUUGGUUGCAACUCUUGUUAUAUUUGAGAUUCUUGUGUAUUUUUAUUUUUGCAACCCUAGUGAUUUGCACAAUAAAUAACCCAAGGUAUAGUGAUACAGUAACACAUAAUAAAGCUUUGUGUUGUGCACUACAUAAAAAUGUUAACUGAUUUCUAGAAUUCCCUGGGUUAAAAAAAUAAAAAUGUACAA